UACGUAGGGUGCAAGCGUUGUCCGGAAUUAUUGGCGUAAAGAGCUCGUAGGCGGUCUGUCGCGUCGGCUGUGAAAUCCCGAGGCUCAACCUCGGGUCUGCAGUCGAUACGGGCAAACUGGAGUGUUGCAGGGGAGACUGGAAUUCCUGGUGUAGCGGUGAAAUGCGCAGAUAGUCAGGAGGAACACCAAUGGCGAAAGGCAGAUCUCUGGGGCCG
rnacentral:rRNA from 1 species